rnacentral:rRNA from 1 species
GACGAACGCUGGCGGCGUGCUUAACACAUGCAAGUCGAACGGUGAAGCGCCUUCCUUUUUGGUGGGUGUGGAUGAGUGGCGAACGGGUGAGUAACACGUGAGUAACCUGCCCCCUUCUUCUGGAUAACCGCAUGAAAGUGUGGCUAAUACGGGAUAUUCUGGGUCUGUCGCAUGAUGGGUCUGGGAAAGAUAUUGUUUCGGUGGGGGAUGGGCUCGCGGCCUAUCAGCUUGUUGGUGGGGUGAUGGCCUACCAAGGCGGUGACGGGUAGCCGGCCUGAGAGGGUGGACGGUCACACUGGGACUGAGACACGGCCCAGACUCCUACGGGAGGCAGCAGCGGGGAAUAUUGCACAAUGGGCGCAAGCCUGAUGCAGCGACGCCGCGUGAGGGAUGGAGGCCUUCGGGUUGUGAACCUCUUUCGCCAGUGAAGCAGGCCUGCCUCGUUUGUGGGUGGGUUGACGGUAGCUGGAGAAGAAGCGCCGGCUAACUACGUG